rnacentral:rRNA from 1 species
GACGAACGCUGGCGGCGUGCUUAACACAUGCAAGUCGAACGGAAAGGCCCUGCUUUUGUGGGGUGCUCGAGUGGCGAACGGGUGAGUAACACGUGAGUAACCUGCCCUUGACUUUGGGAUAACUUCAGGAAACUGGGGCUAAUACCGGAUAGGAGCUCCUGCUGCAUGGUGGGGGUUGGAAAGUUUCGGCGGUUGGGGAUGGACUCGCGGCUUAUCAGCUUGUUGGUGGGGUAGUGGCUUACCAAGGCUUUGACGGGUAGCCGGCCUGAGAGGGUGACCGGCCACAUUGGGACUGAGAUACGGCCCAGACUCCUACGGGAGGCAGCAGUGGGGAAUAUUGCACAAUGGGCGGAAGCCUGAUGCAGCAACGCCGCGUGCGGGAUGACGGCCUUCGGGUUGUAAACCGCUUUCGCCUGUGACGAAGCGUGAGUGACGGUAAUGGGUAAAGAAGCACCGGCUAACUACGUGCCAGCAGCCGCGGUGAUACGUAGGGUGCGAGCGUUGUCCGGAUUUAUUGGGCGUAAAGGGCUCGUAGGUGGUUGAUCGCGUCGGAAGUGUAAUCUUGGGGCUUAACCCUGAGCGUGCUUUCGAUACGGGUUGACUUGAGGAAGGUAGGGGAGAAUGGAAUUCCUGGUGGAGCGGUGGAAUGCGCAGAUAUCAGGAGGAACACCAGUGGCGAAGGCGGUUCUCUGGGCCUUUCCUGACGCUGAGGAGCGAAAGCGUGGGGAGCGAACAGGCUUAGAUACCCUGGUAGUCCACGCUGUAAACGGUGGGUACUAGGUGUGGGGUCCAUUCCACGGGUUCCGUGCCGUAGCUAACGCUUUAAGUACCCCGCCUGGGGAGUACGGCCGCAAGGCUAAAACUCAAAGGAAUUGACGGGGCCCCGCACAAGCGGCGGAGCAUGCGGAUUAAUUCGAUGCAACGCGUAGAACCUUACCUGGGUUUGACAUGGAUCGGGAGUGCUCAGAGAUGGGUGUGCCUCUUUUGGGGUCGGUUCACAGGUGGUGCAUGGCUGUCGUCAGCUCGCGUCGUGAGAUGUUGGGUUAAGUCCCGCAACGAGCGCAACCCUUGUUCACUGUUGCCAGCACGUUAUGGUGGGGACUCAGUGGAGACCGCCGGGGUCAACUCGGAGGAAGGUGGGGAUGACGUCAAGUCAUCAUGCCCCUUAUGUCCAGGGCUUCACGCAUGCUACAAUGGCUGGUACAGAGAGUGGCGAGCCUGUGAGGGUGAGCGAAUCUCGGAAAGCCGGUCUCAGUUCGGAUUGGGGUCUGCAACUCGACCUCAUGAAGUCGGAGUCGCUAGUAAUCGCAGAUCAGCAACGCUGCGGUGAAUACGUUCCCGGGGCUUGUACACACCGCCCGUCAAGUCAUGAAAGUUGGUAACACCCGAAGCCGGUGGCCUAACCGUUGUGGGGGAGCCGUCGAAGGUGGGACUGGUGAUUAGGACU